rnacentral:tRNA from 1 species
CAAAAAUGAAGAAUUAUAUCUUCUCAGGACA